rnacentral:rRNA from 1 species
ACAGUGGACGCGAGCAUCUUUGUUGUAAGUAAUGAAGAGCGUACGGUGGAUGCCUUGGCACCAGGAGCCGAUGAAGGACGUAGGAGGCUGCGAUAAGCCUCGGGGAGCUGUCAACCGAGCUGUGAUCCGAGGAUGUCCGAAUGGGGAAACCCAGCACGAGUGAUGUCGUGUUACCCGCGCCUGAAUAUAUAGGGCGUGUGGAGGGAACGUGGGGAAGUGAAACAUCUCAGUACCCACAGGAAGAGAAAACAACCGUGAUUCCGUGAGUAGUGGCGAGCGAAAGCGGAAGAGGCUAAACCAUGGGUGUGUGAUAGCCGGCAGGCGUUGCAUUCGUGGGGUUGUGGGGUUCAUUUUGUCAAUACUGCCGUGUUGGCCAACAGUAAGAAAUCACAGGGUUAGUGGAAGUGGUCUGGAACGGCCUGUCGUAGAGGGUGAGAAUCCCGUACACGAAAACUUUGUGACUGUUGUAAUGGAAACCCAAGUAGCACCGGGCCCGUGAAAUCUGGUGUGAAUCUGUCGGGACCACCCGAUAAGCCUGAAUACUCCCUGGUGACCGAUAGCGGACUAGUACCGUGAGGGAAAGGUGAAAAGUACCCCGGGAGGGGAGUGAAAUAGUACCUGAAACCGUGCGCUUACAAUCCGUCAGAGCCUUCGAGCAGUUUACUGCUGGGGGUGAUGGCGUGCCUUUUGAAGAAUGAGCCUGCGAGUUAGUGGCAUGUCGCGAGGUUAACCCGUGUGGGGUAGCCGUAGCGAAAGCGAGUCCGAAUAGGGCGAGUCAGUGGCAUGCUCUAGACCCGAAGCGGAGUGAUCUACCCAUGGCCAGGUUGAAGCGACGGUAAGACGUCGUGGAGGACCGAACCCACUUAGGUUGAAAACUGAGGGGAUGAGUUGUGGGUAGGGGUGAAAGGCCAAUCAAACUCCGUGAUAGCUGGUUCUCCCCGAAAUGCAUUUAGGUGCAGCGUCGCGUGUUUCUCACCGGAGGUAGAGCUACUGGAUGGUCUAGGGGGCCCACAAGCUUACCGAAAUCAGCCAAACUCCGAAUGCCGGUGAGUGAGAGCGCGGCAGUGAGACUGCG